UACUGGCCUUCAGCCCAGAGAGAAGGUAUGAUGGAGAUACUGGCCUUCAGCCCAGAGAGAAGGUAUGAUGGAGAUACUGGCCUUCAGCCCAGAGAGAAGGUAUGAUGGAGAUACUGGCCUUCAGCCCAGAGAGAAGGUAUGAUGGAGAUACUGGCCUUCAGCCCAGAGAGAAGGUAUGAUGGAGAUACUGGCCUUCAGCCCAGAGAGAAGGUAUGAUGGAGAUAGUGGCCUUCAGCCCAGAGAGAAGGUAUGAUGGAGAUACUGGCCUUCAGCCCAGAGAGAAGGUAUGAUGGAGAUACUGGCCUUCAGCCCAGAGAGAAGGUAUGAUGGAGAUACUGGCCUUCAGCCCAGAGAGAAGGUAUGAUGGAGAUACUGGCCUUCAGCCCAGAGAGAAGGUAUGAUGGAGAUACUGGCCUUCAGCCCAGAGAGAAGGUAUGAUGGAGAUACUGGCCUUCAGCCCAGAGAGAAGGUAUGAUGGAGAUACUGGCCUUCAGCCCAGAGAGAAGGUAUGAUGGAGAUACUGGCCUUCAGCCCAGAGAGAAGGAGAGCUGACCUUCAGCCCAGAGAGAAGGUAUGAUGGAG